GUAAAAUCCCGUCAGAGCGGAUAGGCACCGCACCGGUCGCCGUGAGAGUCCCGGCCGACAACGACGCCCGCGGCCGCCCCAAAUCGGAAGCCCAAACCCAAACCCAAACAACCCAGCCCACAGGCGCCCGAGCACCGCCGCAGAUUCCGCCGGACGGCGACGGAAACCCUCGACACAGGCCCCCACCGCCCCUCCCCCGCCGCCGCACCGCGCCGCCGCCCCUCCCCCAUUGCCCGCCCGCGCCGCGCGCAUGGCCGCCUCCUACUACAACCCGCCGCCUCCCAGGGCCUCCUACGCUACCCUGCCCCCUCCCCCGCCGGGCACCUCCUCGUACGGCACGUACCGCCAGCACGAGCACGCCUACCUCGCGGCGCACCCUCCGCCCGCGUACGGCGGCUACUUCGACCGCGCGGAGCCCCUGGCGCCGCCGCGCGACGAGCUGCGCACCCUCUUCAUCGCCGGCCUCCCCGCCGACGUCAAGCCGCGCGAGGUCUACAACCUCUUCCGCGACUUCCCCGGCUACGUCUCCUCCCACGUCCGCUCCGGCAAAUCCACCCAGUCGUAUGCGUUUGCUGUGUUUGCAGAUCAGCCGUCUGCGCUAGCUGCAAUGAGUGCCACAAAUGGAUUGAUAUUUGACCUUGAGAAGAACUGUUCUAUCCAUGUAGAUCUUGCAAAAUCUAAUUCAAGAUCAAACUCAUCAAAGCGCCCCAGAUCAGAUUAUGAGGAUUUCCCUAAAUCUACUGGGAAAAAAGCUAGAAGUCCAAGGGGACGUCCUGAUUCAGGUGCUGGAAGCAAUAUUCACAUGUCCGGAAUGGGUAAUUCUUCACACAGCUUGAAUGGUUAUCCUGCACAAAGUUAUAUGGAUUUUGGUUCUAGUGCCGCUUUCAGCAAGGAUCCAGCAAUAUUUGCUCCUCAAAAUAAUCCACCAUGCCCUACCCUUUUUGUUGCAAAUCUUGGUCAGACUGUUUCUGAUCAUGAGCUGACUGAUGUUUUCUCAAGUUAUGAGGGAUUCAUAAAGCUGAAGAUGCAAAACAAGUUCGGAGCACCAGUUGCAUUUGUUGAUUUCAAGUCCAAGAAAUUGAACCAAGAAGAUGGAAUCUUUCUCCGUUCAGUCAUGCUCAGACGAUCGCAGUUCAACUGAAGCCCUGAAUCGUCUCCAAGGUGCUAUUCUACAAUCAUCAUCUGGCGAGGGCAUGCGUUUAGAAUACGCUAAAUCUCGGAUGGGUCUGCGCAAGCAGCGUGACAACCGGUCCUAAAUGCAGCGGAGAGCGGUGUUCGUCGUUGGCUGGCGCUCAAAUGCUGUUCAGCCUGAUGCCACAAUCUAUGCGGUCCAAUGCCCUUGCUCGUGAUGUGUUAGGUUAUGGAAGGAGGUCUUUCGGUCGCAUAACAUGAUGUAACUGAUUUUAGUCGUAUCGCCUAGUUCUGAUUUGCACUACUAUAACUCGCUCUCUUGGAUAUACUGUUUCUGCAUCCUGUAUGAUAUUUCAGCCACGCGUUUUGUUAAGUUGAAUGCUGAACUCAGUGUGUUGGGUAGAGGGAUAUUAUUCGGAAGGUUCAGACAGACAGUGGUGUACCAUGGGUGGUGUGUGUUGGAUGUUGUAGUUCGCCAAUGUGUUAGCUUCAGCUUGUGUGUGCAGUAUGGGGCUGGAUGAAAUUUCCGGAUGGGAUUUCAA